rnacentral:rRNA from 1 species
AAUGGGGGAAACCCUGAUCCAGCGAUGCCGCGUGAGUGAAGAAGGCCUUCGGGUUGUAAAGCUCUUUUAGCAGGGAAGAUAAUGACGGUACCUGCAGAAUAAGCCCCGGCAAACUUCGUGCCAGCAGCCGCGGUAAUACGAAGGGGGCUAGCGUUGUUCGGAAUUACUGGGCGUAAAGAGAGCGUAGGCGGCUCUAUAAGUUAGAUGUGAAAGCCCCGGGCUUAACCUGGGAACAGCAUUUAAUACUGUAGGGCUAGAGAGCGAUAGAGGAUGAUGGAAUUCCUAGUGUAGAAGUGAAAUUCGUAGAUAUUAGGAGGAACACCAGUGGCGAAGGCGGUCAUCUGGGUCGUUACUGACGCUAAGGCUCGAAAGCGUGGGGAGCAAA